rnacentral:rRNA from 1 species
UACGAAGGGGGCUAGCGUUGCUCGGAAUCACUGGGCGUAAAGGGUGCGUAGGCGGGUCUUUAAGUCAGGGGUGAAAUCCUGGAGCUCAACUCCAGAACUGCCUUUGAUACUGAAGAGCUUGAGUUCGGGAGAGGUGAGUGGAACUGCGAGUGUAGAGGUGAAAUUCGUAGAUAUUCGCAAGAACACCAGUGGCGAAGGCGGCUCACUGGCCCGAUACUGACGCUGAGGCACGGAAGCGUGGGGAGCAAACAGG